CGAGCUCCAAUAGCGUAUAUUAAAGUUGUUGUGGUUAAAAGUUGGUAUUAGAAACCUUGGGGCCUGGCAUGGCCGGUCGCGCCCUCACCGCGGGGCAUUUGGGCCGGGCGGGCCGUUCUCCCGUGGGAACGUUCAUGCCCUUCACUGGGGUGUGGGGGAAGAAAGGACUGUUGCUUUGGAAAAAAUAAAGUGUUCAAUGAAGGGCUAUGUUCGAAAACAAUAGCAUGGAAUAAUAGAAUAGGAGGUGUGGUUUUAUUUUGUUGGUUUCUAGGACCGCCCUAAUGAUUAAUAGGGACAGUCGGGGGCAUCAGUAUUCAAUUGUCAGAGGUGAAAUUCUUGGAUUUAUUGAAGACUAACUACUGCGAAAGCAUUUGCCAAGGAUGUUUUCAUUUAUCAGGAACGAAAGUUAGGGGAUCGAAGACGAUCAGAUACCGUCGUAGUCUUAACCAUAAACUAUGCCGACUAGGGAUGGGAGAUGUUAUUUUUUGACUCGUUCGGCACCUUACGAGAAAUCAAAGUGCUUUGGCUCCAG
rnacentral:rRNA from 1 species